rnacentral:lncRNA from 1 species
UCCAGAACUUGAGUGGGAUUUUAGACUACCAUUAGUUAAGAGUAUCAAUGUUAGUGGUCACAAGUAUGGACUUGUGUAUGCUGGUGUUGGUUGGGUAAUUUGGAGGAGCAAAGAGGACUUGCCUGAAGAACUUAUCUUUCAUAUCAAUUACCUUGGAGCUGAUCAACCUACCUUUACCCUCAAUUUCUCCAAAGGUAUAUAUAUGAUGAUUCACUAAUCCUCUUCCAUUAUCUUUCUUUCUACAUAUUAUGAUUAAAAGCUAAAAUUUGUCCUUUCACUUGUAGGUUCUAGUCAAAUUAUUGCUCAAUACUAUCAACUCAUUCGCUUGGGUUUUGAGGUGAGUUGAAUAUGUUCUAUUAUGAUCUAUAUAAAUGACCAAUGUUGCAUGAAAACAGAAACGAAGAAAUGUAGAAAAUAAUAUGAAAAAACGACAUUUAAAAUAUAAUUUUACAUUGAAAAAUGAUAUUUUACAUGAACUUAUGGCUAAGAGUUUCCAUGCAUCAUAUAAUAUGAUACUACCUAACUACAAUAAAGAUCUUGCGAACAUUGUUCUGUACUUGCAGGGAUACAAAAACAUAAUGGAAAAUUGCAGAGACAACAUGGUGGUUCUCAAGGAAGGACUAGAGAAGAUUGGUCGUUUCGAGGUUGUUUCAAAGGACAUGGGAGUGCCACUGGUAGCGUUUUCCUUAAAAGAUAAUAGCAACCAUAACGAGUUUGAAAUUUCUGAAAUGCUAAGGAGGUUUGGUUGGAUUGUGCCUGCAUAUACAAUGCCAGCUGAUGCUGAACAUGUAACUGUGUUGCGUGUUGUCAUAAGAGAGGACUUCUCGCGAACACUCGCUGAGCGUCUUGUACAGGACAUAGAAAGAGUUCUGCAUGAACUUGAUACCUUGCCAUCCAGGAUAAAUGCAAAGAACGGUGACACUGUUCCUGCAGUCCCGACGAAGAAGAGUGAGUUGGAGACACAAAGGGAGA